rnacentral:lncRNA from 1 species
UUGACAGCAGGCUAAAACGUGCUCGUCGAGGCUCAAGUCGCGAAAUUGACCGAAGCCAACAGGCGUUGUUUUCGGGCUUUAUCGAUUGCCGUCAACACAGAUAUAUGCAUAGGUGUAGUUAGGCUACUGUCUGGCCUGGUAUGGCGUGUCCUGGCGAACGCGACAUUUAGAUGUUCGAGGUCGGCCCCGGCUCGAUUCAAUGCCCCCGGGUUACUCUAAUGACCUUAUGUGUGGUAUAAGAUGCUAUAGGAAAGGUAUUGGGCUGGGGACACGACCGGCCCGUAGGGCCGUGCGCGAGUGGAGGCCCGCAACGGUGCGCCGGCAUUCAUUACCCACACUACCACGAAUCUCAAUGCGAAUCCCCUGCAUGCAGCCCUUUUGUAGUUGUGCCCCAACGGGCUGGCGGUCCGGGGUGCAAUUAUAUCGUUUCAGCCUUUCAGGCGCUUAUGGCGCUGAAGAGCGCCGAAGGGGAGCAGCGCACGUUAGCCACCUGCGCAAUCAUGCCCACCCAGUCCCACCAGCAGGAGAAGAUUAAGAGGCGGCAACAGCACAUCGCUCGCUCGCUCGCUCACCAGCAAUUCGCACAGUGUGUGCGCGGCUAUAUGUGUAAGUGUUGUCAGGAAUUCUGGCGGAGUCGCGCGGAAUUGCUGGCGGAAUUGCUACGGAAACAUCCGGGCCCGGACAAGUCGCGUCGCACCGCCGGACUUCCUCUUUCUCUUUCCC